rnacentral:ncRNA from 1 species
GUCCCGGACAAGACGUUAAACUGUCUGCUGCUGCAUAUUGCACCGAGUGAUCAACGGUGGCUCAACGGUCUGCGACGGCACAACAGAAUACAACGGCUGUCAUUUGAGCUGACGGCUGCAAUCCUGAAUGGAGUAAUCCAUCUGGAAUGCGGUCUGAUUCGUCAUGCCCAUUUGCCGGUAGAGA